UACGUAGGCAGCGAGCGUUGUUCGGAAUUACUGGGCGUAAAGAGUGUGUAGGCGGUGCUCUAAGUUCGGUGUGAAAUCUCCCGGCUCAACUGGGAGGGUGCGCCGGAAACUGGAGUGCUUGAGCGUGGGAGAGGAAAGCGGAAUUCCUGGUGUAGCGGUGAAAUGCGUAGAUAUCAGGAGGAACACCUGUGGUGUAGACGGCUUUCUGGACCAUUGCUGACGCUGAGACACGAAAGCGUGGGUAGCAAACAGG
rnacentral:rRNA from 1 species